rnacentral:rRNA from 1 species
GAUGAACGCUAGCGGGAGGCUUAAUACAUGCAAGUCGAGCGGUAAUUUAGGAAUAGCAAUAUUUCUGAGCUAGAGCGGCGCACGGGUGAGUAACGCGUACACGACCUGCCCUUUACUGGGGGAUAGCCUUGGGAAACUGAGAUUAAUACCCCAUGGUAUUAUUAUGCUGCAUGGUAUAAUAAUUAAAGCUGAGGCGGUAAAGGAUGGGUGUGCGUCUGAUUAGCUAGUUGGUGAGGUAACGGCUCACCAAGCCGACGAUCAGUAACUGGUCUGAGAGGACGAACAGUCACACUGGAACUGAGACACGGUCCAGACUCCUACGGGAGGCAGCAGUGAGGAAUAUUGCACAAUGGGAGGAAUCCUGAUGCAGCGACGCCGCGUGCGGGAUGAAGGGGCUUAGCCUCGUAAACCGCUGUCGGAGGGGACGAAUGGUACAUUUGAUGUACUGAGACGGUACCCUCAAAGGAAGGAUCGGCUAACUACGUG